CACCCCUUGACCCUAUUUGUCUUCUUCCCCAAAAUAGGAAGUUUAGAAGCAUGAUGUGGCAACAAGGAGAAAAUAUUUUCAGAGAAAGAAAAAUCCAACUUCACGGCGCGUGAAAGGAUUUGCGAUGCCCGACACGCCUCAAGUCCUUCACGCAAGAGCGAGUUAACGAAGGCAACACAACAGCGAUAGACGGAAAGAACUCUCGACGCCUCCUUCUCCUCUGCUUGUAUAGCUUACAACAGAGGACGUUUUUUUGGCAUUUUUUCAGCGCCUCUGCCUUCCUACAGUCCCAGCAGGCACGCGUUUUGUCCUUGCAAUGGUGAGAUGCCAAGCAAGGACGUUGUGAAUCAAUCUCAGCCAUCCGCGCCGCUAUCCUCGUCCGGAUAUUAAGGGAUUUGGACGCGUUUCUCAUACGGACAACAACUUUCACGCCCUUGCAAUGGGAUGUGAAUUUCGAAAUGGGGGAGUGAUUUUAUCCCAAAUCUUUUCCACCCGCCGUCCCCUGAUUCGGAACCCUAACUUUCCCCCCUGUAAAUACCCCUCUUCUCCUUUGAUCCGGGAUUGGACGAUUUUUGGGAGAAAAACUGUGAUCGCCUAUUUAUUAUAUGUUUCCAUAGAUUUAUGAUAGAUAUUUUUAGUUCAAAUUCGUUUCAAGGAAAGUUAUACUAAGGGAAAUAUAGAAAAACAUUCACAGGUAGAAAGGUUUUUUUGUUAAAAUUCCUAUCACAUUUCCACUUUAUUUGUGUCGGUUUCCUUCAAGUUUUGUUGGUUGGACGUCGUGUUUCUGCUCGCUACUGUCUUAGUUGCUGCCCACAAAAAGCGUUGGGGCAUAAAGGCCCAAGCUCAUCCGUAUUGAGUCAAGCAUCCACAAAACAGACAAACAGAAUCGGAGCGGGAAAAUUAAAAGGAGGCCGAGAACUUGAAGAUUUUGGGCUUAGAAACCUAAAUUUGUUUUUUUUUAAAAUGUUGUAUUUUGUUAUUUUAGGGCCUAAGCCCUCGUCAUCUUAUUUAUUUAUUUAUCAUUGUAUGUUUAGUUUAGGACAGGUACAAACUAAAUGGGUCAAAAAUCCCAAAAGAAAAUGGAUUCAAAUAUUGAUCAAGGUGAAACAGAUAACCCGGAUUUAGACCCAACCGA